CAAGGAUAUACAAUGAACCUCACAAAUUUGAAUAUUUUUCUCUUUUCAAUUCUUUUUCUUUUUUGCUUCCCAAAUGAUUCUCUGGCUUUUUAUAAUCUUGAAAGAGAUUUGAGAGUAUGUUCUGGCCAUUGGAGAGCUUGGAAUAGCCAUUAGACACAAAAACUAGCCAUUAAAAAAAGUAUAGAAAACUAGUCAUUAUUAUUGUCCCUAU
rnacentral:lncRNA from 1 species